CGGGCGACGCGCCGGUCUAAGUCCCUUGGAACGGGGCGUCAUAGAGGGUGAGAAUCCCGUACGAGACCGGUGACCGAGCCUAUGUGAAACUCCUUCGACGAGUCGAGUUGUUUGGGAAUGCAGCUCAAAAUGGGUGGUAAAUUUCAUCUAAAGCUAAAUACCGGCCAGAGACCGAUAGCGCACAAGUAGAGUGAUCGAAAGAUGAAAAGCACUUUGGAAAGAGAGUCAAAAAGUACGUGAAAUUGUUGAAAGGGAAGCGCUUGCAACCAGACCUGCCCGCGGGUGAUCAACCGUCCUUCUGGACGGUGCACUCGCCCGCGUUCAGGCCAGCAUCGGUUCGGGCGGUCGGAUAAAGGCCUUGGGAACGUAGCUCCUUUCGGGGAGUGUUAUAGCCCUUGGUGCAAUGCGGCCAGCCCGGACCGAGGACCGCGCUUCGGCUAGGAUGCUGGCGUAAUGGUUGUAAGCGGCCCGUCUUGAAACACGGACCAAGGAGUCUAACAUCUAUGCGAGUGUUUGGGUGUCAAACCCAUACGCGUAAUGAAAGUGAACGGAGGUGGGAACCCCCCGGGGCGCACCAUCGACCGAUCCAGAUGUCUUCGGAUGGAUUUGAGUACGAGCAUAGCUGUUGGGACCCGAAAGAUGGUGAACUAUGCCUGAAUAGGGUGAAGCCAGAGGAAACUCUGGUGGAGGCUCGCAGCGGUUCUGACGUGCAAAUCGAUCGUCAAAUUUGGGCAUAGGGGCGAAAGACUAAUCGAACCAUC
rnacentral:rRNA from 1 species